rnacentral:rRNA from 1 species
AGAGUUUGAUCAUGGCUCAGGAUGAACGCUGGCGGCGUGCUUAAUACAUGCAAGUCGAACGGAGACAGUAGCAAUAUUGUCUUAGUGGCGAACGGGUGAGUAACGCGUUGGUGACCUGCCUCGAAGAGAGGGAUAACAGUUCGAAAGGAUUGCUAAUACCUCAUGUGGUUGCUUGGGUUAGAGACCUUGCAACUAAACGGAUUUAUUCGCUUCGAGAGGGGCCUGCGUCCCAUCAGCUAGUUGGUAGGGUAAUGGCCUACCAAGGCGAUGACGGGUAGGGGACCUGAGAGGGUGGCCCCCCACAAUGGAACUGAAACACGGUCCAUACACCUACGGGUGGCAGCAGUAGGGAAUAUUGGUUAAUCUGGGAAACCGGGAACCAGCAACGCCGCGUGCGCGAUGAAGGCCUUCGGGUUGUAAAGCGCUUUUAGAGAGGAUGAGGAAGGACAGUACUCUCUGAAUAAGCCUCGGCUAACUACGUGCCAGCAGCCGCGGUACUA